rnacentral:rRNA from 1 species
GAUGAACGCUGGCGGCGUGCCUAAUACAUGCAAGUCGAGCGAACAGACCAGGAGCUGGCUCCUCUGACUUUAUCGGCGGACGGAUGAGUAACACGGGGAUAACCUACCUAUAAGACUGGGAUAACUUCGGGAAACCGGAGCUAAGACCGGAUAAUAUAUCGAACCGCAUGGGUCAAUAGUUAAAGACGCUUUUUCUUUCACUUAUAGAUGGAUCCGCGCCGCAUUAGCUAGUUGGUAAGGUAACGGCUUACCAAGGCAACGAUGGGUAACCGACCCCAGAGGGACAUUGGCUAGCCUGGCAGUGAGGAAGGGUACCCACUCCUGCGCGGAGACGCAGCCCGGACUCCUACGGAAUGGGGGAAUGGGGGACGGUGGACAGUGGGCUAAGUGCUGAAGCUGCUAGGCCCCGAGAGCUAUGUUAUCAGGGGAGUUGAAAUGCGUAAGUACCCAUGAUCGUAUUGACGGUACCUAAUCAGAAAGCCACGGCUAACUCCGUG